UUAUGGUAAAUUUAUAAAUGAUGAAUUUUGUAAAUAUGAAUCAAAUAUAAAUAUGGAGCGAGACUAAAAAUUGAUGAUAUUUUGAAGGAUUGUUUAACUUUUUGAAAUGAAAAUUUUUUUAAAUCUAGGAUAAUUACGAAAAUUUAUGGUAAAUUUAUAAAUUUCCAGGAAGUUUGAAAAUAUGAGUCAAUCCCAAAUUUGGAGUAAUACUUCAAAUUAUUUCUCUUUGUUGAAACCGUUAUUAUGCUAAAUGAUCUUUUAAUGAAGGGUUUUCUAUGGACCCCGUUGAUAAUUUUUAAAACUCUGAAAAUUGUAAAGUUUAAUAAUAUUUGAAAUUUUUGAAAUUUAAGGAAAUUUAGUGUUCAAAAAUCUCCGGAAAUUUUCCGGAAAUCUGUCAAUGCAAUCAACUGUGAUCGCUUGACAUCUACACUAUAUACAGAUCCCUAAAAAAGUGUUGAAAUGAAGCAUGUGUUACAAAAAAACAAUUUGCAAUGUUCACAGGCAUCACAAAUUGAUUAUAGUAGUAUAUUGCUGUAGAUUUGACAGAUUCUACCAGUUGAGUGCUCGCAUGCGCAGAAAAAUGCGCGUUUCAAAUCCCGAAUCCCGGUAUGUGACCCAAGGUAUCCCGUCGGGAAUGGGAUAGUAACAGCUACAAUUCAACGGCCUGUCGUGCACGACGCCAAACGACCGGAAAAGUUACUAUGUGAAUUAUCGUAUGAUAUUAUCAUGAGUGUUUGUGUAUUUCCGAGUGUGCAUAACGAUAAGUUAGUCAAAUUGAUUCAAGCUCUGUAAGCAGAAAUAUUGUUUUUCGUAUGGUUCUGAAUGUGACAAUAGGAUUCUAACCUCAAAGUGCGCAUCACAACACAACAGAGUCCAGGAUAUUUUGGAGCAUAUCACAACGAGAAAAAUUUCGAGAAUGCUGCUGUAAAUUUGAAAAGAGGAAGAGGAAGGAAGAGUCAGGGACCCUAUAUUUGCUUCAAAUGCAAUCAAAUCUGGAAUCUGAAAGCUGCAUUUUUAAAACACCUGAGUUCAGAUUGCAUUCCUGAUUGGAAGAUUAGAGUUCCUAGAAGGGAGAGUAUGAACACUUCUUUUCAAAAGAAGUUUCAGUGCGAUGCGUGUCCUCGAAGUUACGUCAAUAAAAGACAUUUGUGUCGCCACAAACUUUAUGAAUGUGGCGAAAAGGAGCCAGGAUUUCCCUGCAUUUACUGUCAAUGCAAAUUUAAACGCAGAGAUCAGCUUAAUCGUCAUUAUACAACACACCAUCCUGACAUUUGUAUUUCUUAAAAUUAAGAACCAAGUUUUUCUCUUCAUGAUUAACUAAAAAAAAAA